CGGGUGAGUAACGCGUGAGUAACCUGCCCUGGAGUGAGGGACAACAGUUGGAAACGACUGCUAAUACCGCAUAAGCCCACGGCUCGGCAUCGAGCAGAGGGAAAAGGAGUGAUCCGCUUUGAGAUGGCCUCGCGUCCGAUUAGCUGGUUGGUGAGGUAACGGCCCACCAAGGCGACGAUCGGUAGCCGGACUGAGAGGUUGAACGGCCACAUUGGGACUGAGACACGGCCCAG
rnacentral:rRNA from 1 species